UGCGUAGGCGGUUUAUUAAGUCAGAUGUGAAAGCCCCGGGCUCAACCUGGGAACUGCAUUUGAUACUGGUAAACUAGAGUUUGGUAGAGGGUAGUGGAAUUCCAGGUGUAGCGGCGAAAUGCGUAGAGAUCUGGAGGAACACCAGUGGCGAAGGUGGCUACCUGGACCAAAACUGACGCUGAGGUACGAAAGCGUGGGGAGCAAACA
rnacentral:rRNA from 1 species